rnacentral:rRNA from 1 species
AUUGAACGCUGGCGGAAUGCUUUACACAUGCAAGUCGAACGGCAGCACGGACUUCGGUCUGGUGGCGAGUGGCGAACGGGUGAGUAAUACAUCGGAACGUGCCCAGUCGUGGGGGAUAACGUAGCGAAAGCUACGCUAAUACCGCAUACGAUCUAAGGAUGAAAGCGGGGGAUCGCAAGACCUCGCGCGAUUGGAGCGGCCGACGGCAGAUUAGGUAGUUGGUAGGGUAAAGGCCUACCAAGCCGACGAUCUGUAGCUGGUCUGAGAGGAUGAUCAGCCACACUGGGACGGAGACACGGCCCAGACUCCUACGGGAGGCAGCAGUGGGGAAUUUUGGACAAUGGGCGCAAGCCUGAUCCAGCCAUUCCGCGUGCAGGAUGAAGGCCUUCGGGUUGUAAACUGCUUUUGUACAGAACGAAAAGGCUCUGGUUAAUACCCGGGGCUCAUGACGGUACUGUAAGAACAAGCACCGGCUAACUACGUGCCAGCCGCCGCCGUAA